CCUACGGGUGGCAGCAGUGGGGAAUAUUGGGCAAUGGAGGAAACUCUGACCCAGCAACGCCGCGUGAAGGAUGAAGGUACUCGGAUUGUAAACCCCUUUUGCGAGGGAUGAAGAAUGUCGGUACCUCGUGAGGAAGCCCCGGCCAACUACGGGACAGUAGCCGCGGUAAUACGCAGGGGGCAAGCGUUGUCCGGAAUGACUGGGCGUAAAGGGAGUUUAGGGGGCCUGUUAAGGUAUAUGUUAAAGCCCCCGGCUUAACCGAGGAACUGCAGCUAAAACUGGAGGGCUAGAGUGCAUGAGAGGUAAGCGGAAUUUCUGGUGUAGCGGUGGAAUGCGUAGAUAUUAGGAAGAACACCGAAGGCGAAGGCGGCUUACUGGACUGUAACUGACGCUGAGGCUCGAAAGCGUGGGGAGCGAACAGGAUUAGAUACCCUUGUAGUC
rnacentral:rRNA from 1 species